rnacentral:rRNA from 1 species
AAGUGGAGCAAUCCAUGAGUAGAGUGGCGAACGGGUGAGUAACACGUGGGUGACCUGCCUUCGAGUGGGGGAUAACGUCCCGAAAGGGACGCUAAUACCGCAUGACAUCCUGCCUUUGAAGAGGCGGCGAUUAAAGCUGGGGAUCGCAAGACCUGGCGCUUGAAGAGGGGCCCGCGUCCGAUUAGCUAGUUGGUGGGGUAAUGGCCUACCAAGGCGACGAUCGGUAGCCGGCCUGAGAGGGCGGACGGCCACACUGGGACUGAGACACGGCCCAGACUCCUACGGGAGGCAGCAGUGGGGAAUUGUUCGCAAUGGGCGCAAGCCUGACGACGCAACGCCGCGUGGAGGAUGAAGAAUUUCGGU